rnacentral:sRNA from 1 species
GAGCUUUCGUGGUCGUGAUUGUCCGCCUGACGCUUUUUUACCAUGUCGAGCACCUUCUUGGCCUUGGCCUCCUUGUGGACGCGCUCUUAAAUGUAUUCGCUUUUU